GCCCCUGUGGCUCAGUGGUUAGAGCGGACGGCUGUUAACCGUCAGGUCGCAGGUUCAAAUCCUGCCGGGGGCG
rnacentral:tRNA from 1 species